GAAUCCGCYAAGGAGUGUGUAACAACUCACCUGCCGAAUGAAUUAGCCCUGAAAAUGGAUGGCGCUAAAGCGGGUAGCCGACACCAUGCCGUCUGUUUAAUAGAUAACAGAUGAGUAGGAGGGCGUGGUGGCCGUAUCGAAGCAUGCGUGCGAACGCGUGUGGAACGGCCACUAGUGCAGAUCUUGGUGGUAGUAGCAAAUAUUCAAGCGAGAUCCUUGAAGGGCGAAGCGGGGAAGGGUUCCACGCGAACAUUGAUUGGGCGUGGGUGAGUCGUUCCUAAGCCGAGUGGCCAUUGCUAAAUAAUCGGCGAAAGGGAAGCGGGUUGAAAUUCCCGCACACGGAUGUGGAGGCGGCGACGCUUUAUUGAGACGAAGACGCUGGCGGUGGCGCUGGGCAGAGAUGUCUUUUCUGUUUAACCAUUAUCAAGCUGUGUGGAAUCCGCUUGUCGGGAGAAACACGCCUGAAAGGGAAGAGCGCCGGGCUUUUUCCGGCGUCCAGCUCGCCACCGACGGCCCUUGAAAAUUUGUCUGAUGGUAAAAUCCACGCCGUGGCGUACCGAUAACCGCAUCAGGUCCCCAAGGUGAACAGCCUCUGUCCAAUAUGAACAAUGCAGGUAAGGGAAGUCGGCA
rnacentral:rRNA from 1 species